CAUAAGCUUCAUUUAAAAAUUGGAUGCCCAAUAAUAUUGUUACGUAAUAUCGAUCCAUCACAUGGCCUGUGUAAUGGCACGCGGUUGAUAUGUAAGGGUUUCAUGCGAAAUGUUAUUGAUGCGGAAAUUGCAGUCGGUCAACAUGCCGGAAAAAGAGUUUUUUUGCCAAGAAUCCCUCUAACCCUUUCUGAAGAUGACAUGUUCCCAUUCAAGCUGAAAAGAAAACAAUUUCCAAUUCGACUUAGCUUUUCCAUGACGAUUAAUAAAGCUCAAGGUCAAACAAUUCCGAACGUUGGUAUUUAUCUACCGGAUUCUGUAUUUUCACAUGGACAACUUUAUGUCGCGUUAUCAAGAGGGAUUUCAAGACAAAGUACGAAGGUGUUGGUACAUCUCGCCAAAGAAUUCAAACAACGUGGAGUUUACACAUCAAAUGUUGUCUACCAGGAAGUGUUGCGUGAUUAAUUAAUCGCAUCCGUAUCAAAACGAAGGAGAGGAGAAGAUACAAGAAAGUCAUAAGCGAACGGAUGUAUUGGUAAAACAGGAAGAGAUACAAGAGACUCCCCACAUUUUGUUUUUAUUGUUUUGUCCAGCUACUUGACUGUUUUGAACUCUUCUUGUUUUAAUUUACAUCUACUUCCUUGUUU